GGGGUUGUGGCUCAGUGGUGGAACAUCUGCUUGGCAUGCUGAAGGCCGCAGGUUCAAGACCCGGCAUCUCCA
rnacentral:tRNA from 1 species